UGAUGAUGAUGAUGAUGAUGAUGAUGAUGAUAAUGAUGGUAAUAAUGAUAAUUAUCAUUAUUUCUAUCAUUAUCAUUGACAUCAUUAUCAUUUAUC
rnacentral:pre_miRNA from 1 species